rnacentral:rRNA from 1 species
CUCGUAGGCGGUUCGAUAAGUCGGGUGUGAAAACUUUGGGCUCAACCCAAAGCGUGCAUUCGAUACUGUUGUGACUAGAGUUCGGUAGGGGAGUGGGGAAUUCCUAGUGUAGCGGUGAAAUGCGCAGAUAUUAGGAGGAACACCGGUGGCGAAGGCGCCACUCUGGGCCGAAACUGACGCUGAGGAGCGAAAGCGUGGGUAGCAAACA